GAUGAACGCUAGCUACAGGCUUAACACAUGCAAGUCGAGGGGAAACGGCAUCGAAAGCUUGCUUUUGAUGGGCGUCGACCGGCGCACGGGUGAGUAACGCGUAUCCAACCUGCCCAUCACUUGGGAAUAACCUUGCGAAAGUAAGACUAAUGCCCAAUGACAUCCCACGAAGGCAUCCGAAUGGGAUUAAAGAUUUAUCGGUGAUGGAUGGGGAUGCGUCUGAUUAGCUUGUUGGCGGGGUGACGGCCCACCAAGGCAACGAUCAGUAGGGGUUCUGAGAGGAAGGUCCCCCACAUUGGAACUGAGACACGGUCCAAACUCCUACGGGAGGCAGCAGUGAGGAAUAUUGGUCAAGGGGCGAGAGCCUGAACCAGCCAAGUAGCGUGCAGGAUGACGGCCCUAUGGGUUGUAAACUGCUUUUAUAAGGGAAUAAAGUGGGUCACGUGUGACUUUUUGCAUGUACCUUAUGAAUAAGGACCGGCUAAUUCCGUG
rnacentral:rRNA from 1 species